rnacentral:lncRNA from 1 species
GAAUAUUCUCUUUCUUUGAGGUCUUCUGCCUAGUAGCCGCUAGUUGUAAACCCUAUUUGGCUUUUCCCCAGCUGGUUAUUCUUACCCAGUAACUGGUAAUGAAUACAUCUCCUGUUGCCCUUAGCGAGUCAUCCUUGAUAUGUUUACCCUAACCAGUAACGGAUGUCCUCUCGGUCAGAUUAUGUUAUCUCCUCACCCAGUAACGGGUAAUGGAUAAUAUACUUCUGUUACUCCUGUGUCGAAGAUCUUUUCUUGCCCAGUUGAGUUCGAGUGUGUAUUUCAUCAAUGAAAUCG